rnacentral:rRNA from 1 species
AUACGGAGGGUGCAAGCGUUAAUCGGAAUUACUGGGCGUAAAGCGCGCGUAGGCGGCUUUGUAAGUCGGAUGUGAAAGCCCUGGGCUUAACCUGGGAAUUGCAUUCGAUACUGCAUGGCUAGAGUAUGGUAGAGGAUGGUGGAAUUCCUGGUGUAGCGGUGAAAUGCGUAGAUAUCAGGAGGAACAUCAGUGGCGAAGGCGGCUAUCUGGACCAAUACUGACGCUGAGGUGCGAAAGCGUGGGGAGCAAACAGGAUUAGAAACCCUAGUAGUCC